UUGACCUUCCUGAAAUUCUCAUUUAAUAUCCAAAGAUGCGCUGGGGAUCAGCGUGCCAGAAGGCCAGGCUCCUUGGCGCUCUCUUCCCACCCCAGCACUUACCUGGAGCUCCAUCACCCAGCUCACAGCAGGCAGUGUAAGGCCCUGGAGGAUGGAUCAUCACCUCUUCAUGGCUAUCCUUGGUAUACUUGAAGUUUUCAAGUUCUCUCUUCAGUCUCUGUUUGUUUUAAGGCUCAGUUCCCUGGCUUUGUUCAACCCUUCACCUUGGGGGGAUGAUUUCUAGAUUCUGAUCUUGUCCCCUUUCAAAUCGCUCCCUUUGGUCCACAUCUCUACUCACAUGCAGUUGUAAGGCAGAAUACAUCUCGGCACUGAGGCCUUAUUAGGACUGAACAUAACAGAAAGACUAUUUUCCCCAUCUUGAAGGGCACUCUUCGAUUUACCCAUUGCAGAGUGACAGCCUUUCACUGAGCAGCUCUCCCAGCCCACUCUGCAGCCUGCGCGGUUCCCCAGCCCUUAAUUGUGCAAUUGAUUAUUUCUACCCAAGCAUAGGAUCUCGCACUGUCCCUCGUAACACACUUUUUAAAGAAGAUUAUUUCUGCAAUUUGUUGAGACCUUUCUGAGUUUUAAUUCUGUCCUCUUGUGUGCUUGCAGUCCCUCCCUGCACAGUGUUAUCAGCAGAUUUAACAAGCAUAUUCCUUCCUCUGUCAUCCUAGUCAUUAAUGAAAAAAUUAAUAAUGCUGAGCUCAAGGCAGGUCUCUCUGAAACUGUGCUCAAUUCAUCCUUUCCGUUCAAAGAGAGCCAUUUUCUGGAAAUGAAUGGUCUCCUAGCAGGCUCUGCCUGCUCUCCACCAAGUGCCGUGCUAAUGGUGAGGGCUGCAGCUGGGCACUGCUGCUCCACGGCCAUCCCACAGGGCUGCUCCUGCUGCUGUUCCUUGGUGUCGUGGUGCUUCUGUAGCUUCCUGAAUAGACGGAUAGCAAGCAGACACGCAGAGCAAUCCCACCUCCGCGUCCUUCCAGGCAGCAUCUCUUCUUCCCAUCUCUUUGGAUUCCCACUAUGAUAAUUAAGGUUCUGAUAUGGCUUCAGACAGUUCCUUAAGUAUGUGAAGAUAAAGCUCAUCAGCAUAACCAAUUUGAAAACAUCUAAAUUAGCCAGGCACUCUUGCUGCUCCCUUUUUGGGAGAUUACGAUCUUCCCUCUUUGUUACAGUAUUAUUGUGCCGACCAUCUGCUCUCAGUAGGCCUUUUUCAUGAAGAUGGAAGCAAGGAAAUCUCAUUAAACACUCAGCUUACUUGGCUAAUGGCUUUCCCACUCCUUUUUUGGACCUCCUCUAUUACUAAUGCAGUUGCAGGAUGAUAUCUGGUUAAUUGCCCCACGCUUUGAAUCCUGACCUGCCCAGAUUCACUGCUCUCAGCACUGCUUGGUGACAAACUUCCUGAAAUAAUGAAUGCUGAGGCUGAGGUGAUGGGUUGGAAUUCCUGCACAGUGGGGAGCACAGGAUGAACUUUCACUGUCAGGUGGUGGCUGUGGGUCAGGCCCUGAGUGGAGCCCCACGUGUUGGGGCAAUGGCAGUGGGAGCACACAAGAAGCCCUCAGGGAAUGAGAUUCCUGAUUUUUGUUCAAUCUAAUAGCACACAAUUUGAGCAAAUUGCAUUAACUUUUUUCUUUUUCUUUUUUUUUUAAUUCUCUCCUGACUCCUGCUAUUCUUAGUACACUGCUGAGAUUAUUUCUGAGGUCUUUAGAGUUCUCUGUGGAUUUCCUGUUAUUGGUCCCAAUGCUACAAGUAAUUGCUCUCUGUCCUCGAGCCUUUCCAAACAGGCUCCUGCAGUGAGUUUCACCUUUAUGUCUACGUGACCUCAAGGCACAUGAAAAAACCUUUUCAGUGAUAUUGGACAGCUUGUAAACAGACUUCCAAAUAAUUCCAGCCAGAUGUAAACAUGCAAGGGCUCGAAAAAAGUAUUGUGAGUUACAGAGAUACAGAUCAAUAGAGACUUGUGGUUUGAAUUCACUCAUGGUAUCAUAAUUUAGGCAAUAAGAAGAGGAAUAUUAUAACAUAAAAUGUCAUGGUUGCAACUCCAUUUGUGCUCUCACACCAGAGACUGAGGAAAUGAAGAGCACUCUGGGUAGCAGAGCUAAAUAAGAGCAAAGCACAGAGGAACCUGGCUGGGCAUGCUGACCUUCUUUUCAGAUUUCAAGUGACUUGAAAUGGAGCCAUAGUUAGAAGUGGCCAUUCACAUUGUUUCUUCCUGCAGAGCGUUAACCCACAGCUUACUGCAGCAAGCUGUUAUCCUCUAGCAGGAGAAAAACCAGCAUUUCCCCUUUUCUCUUGUAAUGUCUGAAACCAGGUGAGUUUUGUCAGGUCCGAAUAUUUCUAGCCUGGCUGAGAUAUCAGAAUGAAACAGAAAUGCUCACUAUUGGUUAUACAAUGCUAGGUGAAAUGCAGCAGAAACCUCACUUUUAUUCAAAUCCUCAGGAACCAAAGAGCGGGAGCCCUAGCUGUGGGUGCUGCUCUGGCUUUGGGGUGGCAGCCACAAGCCACCCCCAGCCCCUCAGCCACAAGCCCAGCCCCUGGGGGCACGAAGCCCAUGGCAGUGCAGUUUGCCUCCAAGCAGCCCAGAUCUAAGGGAGAGCAGCCCGGGCUGAGCACACCCAGCAGUGCUGAGCAGGAGGAACCAGAGCCUGGAGUCACCGCUGCAAAGUGCAGCCUGCACAGGACUCCAUUGUGGCUCUGCUGCUUUGCGGCCAGCUGGAGCUUUUCCUGGCUCUUUCUCUGUAGCUCUUCAGUUGGAAUGGAAGAAACAAAAAGCUUGGUCUGGAAUCCAGAGAGAACAUAAUAGGCGGGUUGUUACAGGUGGGUUUUCCUGGGAUUCUCAUGCUGAAUACAAGACCAAGAUUGAAGGCUUUGCCAUGAGUGCAGCUGCAGAGCUGUGAACUUCUGCAGGGAGUGAGCAGCCCUGAGGAGGCUGAAGAAGGAGGAAUCUGUGGAGAAGUGAGGUGGUGCUUUUUAAACAAAUCUUUCUUGACAAAAGAAUUGAAAUAUGAAGCCAAUUAAAACGCCAAGGAAUUUUCAAAACAGUCAAAACAGAGAAAAUACGCCUUUAAGCUCAGCCCAUGUAAGCAGAUAACAAAAUCCUGAUAGCUGACACCAGCUAGAAGCAAUUCAUAAAGAAGGGGUGUUUUCCUUCUUAUCCGUUGCUUCAAGCAGUCACUCAAUUUAAAUUUAACUUCCAGUUCAGCGAGUAAGGAGUUUAAGGUCUCUGGCUGGUGAUGGGAGGACAGCCGCUGCAACGCGAGCGUGCAUGCUUCAGCACACCAGGAUGCUUUGUGAUAUGUAAACCGAGGAGGGAAAAGACAGAGGUCAGACUAAAGGGCAGCAAGAGGAAAUGGUAGAGCUUACUGAUUCCGCUCGGAGCCGGUGAUCCAAGGAGCUUCCCCCAUGAGAUUGGUGAGAUCCCCAGCAGCCCUAUUACCUGCUGUGGAGGCGGAGGUGCACGGUAGUGUAGCUUCCAAGCCAACCGUGCGGCAGUUUGAUGGCUCCUGAGGACACAGGGCUGGGUGUCCAUCGCCCCACAGAUAGGGCACAUGCAAUGUUUGCCUUCCUCACCCUCAAAAAAUGAAGAACUUUCUUCUUUUUUAGUUACCGAGCUGGAAACUGUUAAACCAGGCCAAGAUGGUCCGUGAAGUAGUGGAAAAACAGUUGAAAAGUCAUUCGCUCAAUAAUCAGCGGGGCUGGGACUCCUUGUUCUCUGCCACCUCAACAGCCAGCAGCUGCAGGAAGAUUUUUCUCUCAAAGUUCUAGCAACAACAAAAAAAUGAGGACAAUUUGCUGAAAUGACAGAUAGUCACGAGGCUCUGAGAUCAGCCUGACUCUGCUUUGCAAAAGAACAAGAUCCACAACGCACCCUUCUCUUCCAACGCCUGCCCCAGAUUUUAAUACCACAAACCAGCAAGAACUGCUGGGAUGUGAAUUCUGAUCUUCUGAAUGUGCUGACCUGAAGGAACCAUCCUUAAUAUGGCUUCAGCUUUGCCGCUGCAGGUAUGUGGAGUGGAAGGAGCACGCAGGAUAGGGCUGGAGCUCUGCUUUGUUGAGCAGCAUCUGGGAAACCCAGUGCAAAACCAGGUAAGUACUUGUUGUGCUACGACAUCUGCCACCCAUUCCAUAUUUUGACCACUUAAUGACCUUUACAAGGAAUUAAUGUUCUUAUUUUUCAGUGCUUUGGUAUUUUAAUCCUUUUUAAGAACCAUUUCUAUUAUUUAGCGCCCACCUCCGUGUGCUUUAAUAUGAGAAUCUCAUUCAAUUUCAUUUUAUGUCCGUGGUACAAAUCUUUGAUCUUUAUUUUAGCUUGGUCUGUAAUGUAACCAUUAAGGAAAAUGCGAAGGAUGUCUCUGAUUUUCUCUUGCUAAAAGCAGGGCCAGCAGUUUCACAGAGCUCAGCACCAGGUAACGCUCCUCUCAAACAAUUUUCCCAUUUGAGGAAUAAAAGUUAACAAACAUGCCACAACAGAUGUUUUCAAUUUGGUGCUCUAGAUUGCAUUUUGAUGCACUGAACAGCACCACUUCGGCACCGCCAGGAAGCAUCCCUUAUUGCUUCUAACAAGAGCUGCCAUCGUGAUGCAUUCUGUUGACCACAUUUUGAAACACAGAUUGUUUCUAAUUUUGCUUCUCUGAUUUACCCUCAGUACUGGAAUAUCUCCAUUGCUUUCUCUCUCUCUCUCUCUCUCUCUCUGUGUUUUUUUGUUUGUUUGUUUGGUUGGUUUUUUUUUUUUUGGAGUUUUUUCCUGACCAAGUGCAUACUGAGAGACCAGGACCUGCCCCUCACCCUUGCUGCCAGGAGGUGUGGGGGGCUCAGACCAUGGAAGGGCUGGCAAUAUUCAGGCUGAGCCAAAGCCUCCAUGAAGGCAUUCUGUUUGGCAGGAAAGUGUAGUGUUUAGGUUAUUGUCAAGCAGCCUUGAGAUAUAAAAAUGUUUCUGUGGGAGUUCUUGGCUCUGCAUGAAGGCUGAGAGAGCCUGUGGGGUGGAGGAACUGCUGAGCUGCCUCCUGCUUUGCAGAUGGAUGGGAGAGGAGGGGCUGGCUCCAGUUUGGGUCUGACCAUUGGUUGUGUUCUCAUGCAAGGGCAGGGAUGGGUUUUUCUUCUGGAAUUGCUCUGUUUUGAGCCAAGGUGUUGCUGGAGAUCCCACCGUGUGUGAGGUGGAAAUAAAGCCUUAAAAUGUAAAGGGGUACUGAGUGCAGUGGGUGUUAACCAACUGCACAUUCUCCCUCCUGCUCUGCAGAUGCUCCUGUGUGGCUCCAGAGGAGCUCAGGUCCUUGAAGCAGGGAGGAUUGGUUUCUGUCAGCAGGCAAAGGCUUCUGCCCUGAACACCGCUGCCUGAACUCCUGUGCAAGCAGCUCCAGAUUGUCCUCACGACUCCAAAAUAUGGAUUAAAAAUAAAAGCUGGGUAAAUUAGAUCAACCAGGCUCCAGGGAAGAACUCUCUGCUGUGGAUGCUUGGAGCUGUGCUGUGACUGGGCAACCCAAGCCCCCGCAGCUGAUGGAGCUGCCCAUGGGUUCCAUCUGUGGACGGAAGCAGUGAAACACCUUGCACAGCAUUUGUGGGUUUUGUUCAGAAAAACAACUUUGUUUUUGGAGAGAGAAUGUUAUUUUUCUCUUUGCAAUGUCCAAAGCAGAAACUGCCUACUUUAAGCUUUCUGAAUAAUCUGAGUAUAUUUUGCAUAUGUUUUCUUCUGCUGUUCAAAAGAUAGAAAUGGGAGUUAAGGAUGGCUGCUUGUUUUGGCACGGUGUCACGUAGGCUGAUCCAAAGAAAGAAAAUCCCUCGUGAUGACGAGGAUGGUGAUGGAAGCUCCAGGUCCUUCCUCCCACGGGGACGGGGUGGCUGAGCUCAGAGCUGUGUGGGGGACAGCCUGCAGUGGGGCCUUGGGCUCAGCACCCCCAACAGCCGCUGGCUCGCACUGCAGCACCUUCUGCAUGGGAAGAGCCCUCAGAGGCUGGGGCUGAAGGUAUGCCAGCCACCUCUGGCCAGGUGUGUCGCAGGUGCCAGGAGAAGGGGAAAAGUGCUGGGAUUCAUCGCAAUCUUUGGUUUGUAAGAGGUGACAAUUUUACAUAGUUUAUGCAAAUUUCGCCAAGUCUUUAAAAAAAAAUGUUGUGAAGAGGACACUGGCAUCAGCUUGAAAGGAAUGUAAAUGAGCGUAUCCUUAAUGCACAGUGCUGUUUGCCAGCAAGAACAAGUCUAGGGGAGAUGUAUUCCCACUGAACUCACAGAGUUACAGCGGUGCUGACACCAAGUUCUGUAAUUUUGUGCUAUUGCAGGGAGCAAAGUCAUCUCGUUGGGGAACUCUUCAUCUUUCUGGCUCUGCUUUGUAUACUGCUAAUGAUUCUGUGGUUACAUUUUUUUUUUAAAUUUGAUUUUUGGUGGUGUUUUUUGCUUUUUCUUUUAUUUUUACAUUUCAGUGAAUGUCAUGCCUUUAUGUAAGACUCCAUAUAGUAUACAGAAAAAUGAAUUAUGCAAAACACCACCCAGCUGUCAGCGUACACGUGAAGAGCACUAUCACGCUGAAAUAAGUCAACGUGUGGUGAGUGUGAAGUAAUGCUGGUAUUCUCUAUCAGAUAAGGAAGUAAUUGUGCACGCAUUUGUGUGGAAAAGAUGAAAUUCCAGAUUGCAUGCAUGCAGGCAGCAGAGCUGGGGCUGGGUGCUGCGCUGCCAUGGCAACGGAGCAAGGCUUGGUACAGAAAUAGCUGAGCAUCGUUGGCCUCACUUCUGGGAUGUGCUGUGUCCAACUUGGUAGCAGCCCCACUCGAAGCCCAGAGGGACCACCAGCAUUCCCCAUCACUGAGAGGCCAUGCCCUACUCCUGGUGAUGGCAGUGAGUAACGUCAGAGCUUCGUUCUUUAAAGAGCAGAGCAAAAACUUGCACGUGGAGGGCUGCUUCUCAUUUAUCAUCACACACAAUCUCCUACUACCAUCUGCCAUUAUCAUCAAAUAUUUAAAAACACCUGGAAUUGGCUGCUGUUAAUGGUAGGGAUUGCUAUUUCAUAGGCUCCUUGCCCCAUGCCUUCUGCAGCCCGGCCGUGGCCCCGCCAACCCACAGUGCCAUGCAUGCAGCCGGGAGCCACUGGGAUGAGGUGAUGUGUCGGAGGGGUGCGAGGUGCUGAGGGGCUGUUACUGACACAUCUUUGGGCCAGACCUCAGCUCUCAUAGAGAACGUGAACCCUGGGAGCCCUGAGAGCCCAGAACGGGGCUGUGUCCCCCCGGAACUCCCAGGUGUGGGGCAGUGCAGAGAGCUCUGAAAAAUGAAAAAUUAAGAGCAAAUGAGAUUUCUUCUCUCUGAUGGAUUUUGUACCUCCCUGCUCUUUCCUCCACACUUUGCUGCUGGCAAGUGCUAGCUAAAUAGCAGCAUGAAGUGCUCAUUUGAAGCCUGAUUUAUGAACACUUUUGAAAUUAAAAUAGUUCCGAGUUAAAAUUCUUUUUAUAUGGCACACUGUUGGACAGUCUGUGGCCACAAAAACCUGUUGAGCAGCAAUGAUUCUAAACUGAAAACAAGGUUGGAAUACUUGUAUUUGAAUAAGCAUCAUUAUCUUGCAUAUUUAACUUCUGAUCUGGUCUCAUAUUUUGUUCCUCAAGAAAAGUUAAUCAUAGAAUUUUUAUCAUAGAAUCACAGAAUGGCCUGGGUUGCAAAGGAGCACAGUGCUCAUCCAGUUCCAACCCCUGCUGUGUGCAGGUCACCAACCAGCAGCCCAGGCUGCCCAGAGCCACAUCCAGCCUGGCCUUGAAUGCCUGCAGGGAGGGGGCAUCCACAGCCUCCUUGGGCAGCCUGUUCUGGUGCUUCACCACCCUCUGGGUGAAAAACUGCCUCCUAAUAUCCAACCUAAACCUUCCCUGUCUCAGUUUAAAUCCAUUCCCCCUUGUCCUAUCUCUGUAAGUGUAUUUCUUUUUCUUUCAGAGAAAUUGAAGUCCUUUGGUGACAGAACAGCCUUAGAUCUCUACGGCAGGUGAACUGUGAGAGCUUUGUGCCUAAUUGCAUCCAUUCAUGCCAACAAAACCCUCCCAGGUUCUCAAUUGCAGUCUUCACCCAGAGCAAGAUUUUGCUGGACCCUUGAGCAGCUGUUUCCUACUGAAAAAGUGUUUCUGUGGUCACAGGCAUGAAGCCAUCUGGUGCUGAUCCUUCCGAGAUGCAAUCCUUUGCUCUGGCACCACCACAGUGCACAUUCAUGGUCAUAAGCCUGUUUUCAAAUCAUCUUCAGAUUAAAGUUGAAGGAAGUAAUCUAAGGAAAAACAGAUUACUUUGAAAGUAAUGGAUUAUCUUGCCUCUAAUUUCUUCCAAGUCUACACGUAAAGUUGUUUUCUGAGUUUAGUCUGAAGCUGUUUGAUGGCGGGGAAAAAAAAAAGGUGAUGCUCUGGGAAUCCAGUGUUGGUGCUGAAAAUGCAAGUUUUUUGAGCACUCUGGUUUUAAUCUGUAUCAUAUUCCACCUGCAUCACCAGCUGCUGCUUUUCUCUGUGGUGCCCUAUGAGAUGUGCCCAGUGUUCUGCUCGCUUCUUGCGUGCGGAUUGGAUUUUCUUGUCUGUAUUUACAUUGUGAAGGAAUUGAUGGGAAAAAUGGAACCUUCUAAUUGCCUAAAGAGAAUCAAUACGUGGCUUAUUAGGAGAUACUUAACACUGGUUGUAUCCUAUGAUGUUCAGAGAUCGUUUUUAUUUGAUAGGUGUUUCUAUUGCUCAGUUAAAAAAAAAAUCAUGUUUGAGACAUGCAGAAGUGUGAAGAACUAAUUCGCACUGUUAUAAAAUAGUUAUGUAAAUGAGAUGUGGAGGAAUCAUUUAUCUGAAAGAUUACAUGGGAAUCACAUCAAUCACCGGGAUCAGGUAAUGAAGCCCUAUUCCUUCAUAGUAAAUAUGGUGCUCUGGCCCUGAUAUCUGAAUACAGAGGAGGGGAUUUACCAGUUUCCUGUGGGGAUUUUGCAUCUGCUAUAAAUAGAUGUCACAAACACUGUUUUGCAGUUAGAUUUGCCAUUGUGCAGCAUGGGCAAAUGAUUGGCUUUGCUAGCAAAGUUUUGUGAGCUGAGUUGUGAAGGUCAAACAAUCAGAAAAUGUAAAAAAAAAUUAGAUUUAAAAUAAGAUACAUUCAAGCAAUUUUUUUUUUUAAUGUAACAUAAUAUCUGUAAUAUGAAAUAAUUACCUGAGGCAUCAACUUAUAGGGACCCUGCCAAACAACAGCAUACUUUGUAAGGAAGUUACAUUUGGAGAAUGUUUGGGAACGACCUGCAAAAGGGCUUUGCCUUGUGAAACUGACCAUUCAUUUUCUUCAGCACCUCAAAAGAAUCCACAUGAAGACCUCUGCUAACCGAAGACUCAGAAAUGGUCUCACCUUCCUGUCGUGCUGGAUUAAGAAGCCAUAAAAAGACAGACAUGGAGAAGAGAAUUUCUGAAUAACAGGUGUUGAAGGUGAAUUACUGGAGAGAGGUGGUCGUUCAUCUGAAUUUCAAACUAAUUAAACUACCUGAUACCUGUCAAAAAUAAUCAGGAUAAAAACUGCUUUCUUGAAGCAACUCUUUCAAGAUGGGAAGCCAGUGUUGGGGGGAUGCGUUGGACACUGUGAAACCAGCAUGGCACUGGGCUGGUACUCCAAGAGCAUCUUCUGCAGCCACCAGUGGGAUUCUCCAUCCCAGGAGAGGACUUGUCCAUCUUUGGAACGACAAGAGGCAGGUUGGGGUCUGUCACUGUUAUGCCGAUGGAUGCAGCUACGAGGAGUCACUGAAACGUUCCCAAAAGCAGUGUGGGCAAACAGCCAGGCCUGCCUCAGAAAGCAGUUUCAUUGGAAGCUGGCAUUCAUAAACUCGACCCCAGGUUUGAGCAGAGCUGCAGGGCUGAUUCCAGACAGCCGACUCUGUGAGGAAGGCACAAAUGCCUCAUUGCUUUUACUGGCAGAGAACCUCAGUUAGCUGAUGCUUCAAAGGAGCGGCCAGCCUGCCGUGAGUUCAGGGUCAAGUCCCAGCAUCAGCGCUGCAGCUGCCCAAACUGCCAGCACCGAGCGCUUCUUCUUCUUUGGCCUUGAACCCUGUUAUUAAGAAUAACAUAUAAUAACAAAGGAGCGUUUUGAGUGAUUUUGUUAGAAAUACAUCAGGCUGUCUAACAGUUUAUUGGCAUCGAUAAUUCCUUAUUAAGCCCUCUACACCCAUUAUGGUUUGUGCUUUCACUUUUUUUUUCCAUGUUAGUUUCCAGGCAACCAGCAAGAACUGAAUUACAUUAAGCUAUUAAUUCAGGACCGCACGCCAGCUCGGGCUUCUUCUGCCGAUUUGCUCCUCUCACGUGCAAGUUUCCUCAUAAAAACCCCUUUUUAUUGGUUUAAUCUUCAGUGGCACUCGGUCCAGGGAACUGAUAUGAAAAUUGCCAUGCCUGCACCUGAUUUUUGUUUCUUGCUUGUUUUUUGAUGCUUGCUGGUGGGGUUUGUUUGAUGUAGGAUUAAGCAGAGGUCUGUGAGGAGGGGUUGAUGUUAGCUGCCAUAGAUACAGCUAUCUACCUCUGUUUUCUUCAAUGCUGAGUAAGAGAUGAGAUCAUAUUGAAAACUUGUGUGGCAGGAACACCUCUGUUAUCGUUAAAGAGAAGCAGUUUCCAUGUUAUGCUCCAUCGCUAAAUGCCUGUAGCACUGGGAAAGGCACUGGCUGCAGAUCCAGCUGAAAGCAAUAUCUUCAGGUGGGACAGAGAUCUGGGGACAAAAUGCAGUAGUGCCUAAUAACUAUGAGCCCUGAAAUCCAGCCUGUGCUCUAUACUGAGCCUACCAUCUAUUUUAUUCCAAGGCCAGAAAUGUCAUUACCCAUUCCACAACCUAUGCUCAGAAGGGACAAGUGCAGACUUCAGGUACUUCUACUGUCUUUAUCUUAUCCUGUUUAUUGGUGCCUAUGAGUUCAAGGGGUCUGUGACACUAGAGAAGUCAUGCUGGUGAAAUACAGGGAGUCCACAGUUAGAAUAAUCAACCUUAAUGAAAAGAAUCUGUCUUUAUCCACAGCCAAAAGUAACAACAAACAAGUAAUAAAUAAGUAAAUGCUAUAUGAGACUGAAACCAAAACAGAGACACCAUUUCAGAUAAAGUUUCUAUGGCUUUUGUCAAAUAGUUGAGCUGGACAGAAUUUUAAAAACAGUGAUUUCCCUUUUUUUUCUUUUCUAAACAAACCACUGUUCUGAGCUGUUUUCUGUUUUACAGGGGUCUGUCAUAAGAGCUCGAAUCGUUGAAAUUCAGACCAUGAAAGUUAACCAUGACUUCAUAAAACUUCACUGGAAAAACCCCAAACUGGAUGUUUGCAGUUUGUAAGCAAGGUGCCUGUGAUCUGUGCUCCUCCCUGUUAUAAGAGGCCAUCAGAAGUUGUACUGCUAAAAAGGAUUUUUACACCUUAUCGGCUCUCUUGGAACAGUUAUACUGAGCAGACCUGGUGUUUGCUCCUGUAUGGGAACUGCUGAGUCACGGCCUGAACCUCUGAUUGAUCACCUGAGGUGAGCCAUGAGUCAGCCAGAGGAGCACAGGUGAAGGCAAUUCACCUGUGCUGCCGGAAGGGGUGGAGCCAGGCUCCACCCCUCCUGGACCUAUUUAAGAGCUGGCUACCAGAGGGGAAGGAUCUCUUCUGGAGAUCCUCCUCUUUGAUAUCUUCUAGUGAGCUCAACCCAAGGCUUAGGAAUGUGCCCCAUGUCAGAAAUCUUUGGAGGUAUUCCAGAAGUACUGAAAUGUGGCUGUCCAGUUAAAUACAAUCAGAUGCAUAAGGGAAAAAAGCGAGCUCUCUCCAAGAUCUAUGUUCAGUAAUAAGAUAUUUUUACUUAACAAAGUCUCUACCAGAUGGCGUUUCUAAAUUUUGAAUAUUAGGUCUGGUUGUGAAUGAGGCCUCCACAGGGUUUGAUGUACCGUGGAUGAGAUGCAGCGUUUAAGCCAUGGGUAAGAGCUCGUGUGCUGCUCCUGUUUGCAGCGAGGCAGCAGUGACAGAGCUGGCAUCAGCAUCGUGACAGACACCAUUAUGGGCAUCAGCACCACUACACCAUUAUGGGCAUCAGCACCGUGACACCAUUAUGGGCAUCAGCACCGUGACACCAUUAUGGGCAUCAGCACCGUGACACCAUUAUGCCAGCAGCCUUGCUACCAAGCCCACCCAUCCCAUGGGAGUGGCUCCUCCAAAAGCCAUGUCUGUGAGUGAUACCUGGGAGAUGUGGGCUCUUUCAAAAACUCAGCUGUGCAUCGUAUGCUGUCUGAAAUGUAUCUUCAUUUGUCAGAUGCCUUCUUAGUCAUCGCAGGACGCAACUACGAAAGCCUGUGCUCAGCACUGCCACCUUCACCAGCCAAUUUUCUUGAUGAAAAGAAACUCAUCAGUUUGAAAGAAUGUUUCCUGUGAAUUCAUGUUGCCUUGGCAUUAAGAAGCAGCACUGAUGCCAUUUACCAACCAAGCCUUUAUCAGCAGCCUCGUGGUUCCCUGGGGACAGAAGACUGGAGACAACACCGAGUUCCCAAACCCAGCAACACGGCACUGAUUUGUGCUUGUUUGCUCAGUGGUCACUUUGCUAAAGCAUUCAAACCUUCUGGUUGCCCUUUGUAAACAGACUUUCCUGCCUUCUGUAAAUGCUGACUGUUGCUUUGUCCUGAUCCCGGAGACCUUUUCCAGUACAGCUCCUCAUUCAGUCAUGUCACGGACAUGAAACAACUACAGACUGUAUCUUAACAGUGUAACCCCUCUUCUCCAUAAGGGAAGUAAAGUGGGGAUUGCUGACCUGGAAAUGCAGGCAGUUUGGUGACUGCACAAGGAACUCAGGAGAGCAGCUCUGGGGAAACAUUAGCCAGGGAAAGCGAAAGAAGAGAAACUGUAGUUAGGAACUUCAGAUGGAGCUUGAAUCACAUUUACAUGCUUUUCUAUUUCUCAUAUGUUUGCAAGUUUUACUGCCCUGGUCUCCCAGAGCAGUGUGAAUUAGCAGGUAUGUUAUUCCUGUGCAGAAGAUGAACUGUGCUGGGAAGGAAGAAGAUUGCUCCCCAGAGCCCUACCCAGGAAAGCUGCAGAAAGCUGGGAAGUGAACGCAGGUCCCAGGGGCCCCAAAUGGCCCCGCCACGUACUGCCUGAUGGGCUGGGAGCUGCAAGCUGCGAGCUCGGCUCGAGUUUUAAAGCUCAAUUCACAUGAUGUAUGCUGACUGGAACAGGUCCGUUUUAGACAAAAUGCUCCCUGCCUCUCACAGAGAUCCAGCAGCUUUGCAGCUCUCUCUGCAUUGCUUCCAGUGCUUGCUAAGUGGGAGAAUUUGGGGCACUUGCAGAUUGGGAAUGAAAGUGAGAAAUCACUGAACACCCAGAGCUCCAAUGGGAGUGGAACUGAUGGAAGGGCCCCAAACUGAUGGUGGUUUUAGGGUGGUUGGUUUCACUGUUGGUUGUAACCUUUCUGCGAAUGCUUUUCUAGGUAUACAUUUCAGGAGAAGGCAAAGAUGAAUUAAAUAAGGAAUUAUAGCUCUUGAAUGAGAAUUUCAUCCAUAAAAUGCAGAGUAUGUGACACAAUAAAGGUGCGACCGUUGUCCUACUGUGUUCAGAUCUUCAGAUUUCCAGGCUCUGUUCCUUAGAUGUGAAAAAUAUCAUAAUUGUUUCGGUGUAGGCAUGGAAAAUGAACUUCAAAACACUUUGAUCUAGAGGAGCUGAGCUUAGUUCUGGUGGGAAUUAAGAAGGAGAACUUUCAAGUAAUUUACGUUUGAAAUGGCUUCAUAGCUUUUGCUUCAUAAAAACAGAGAGAGAUAAAAUGAUAAUAAAAAUUCAUAUUUUGGAAAUGGACAUUCUCCUCUCUGGCAGUAAAAACUAAAGGUAAUUUGCUCUAUUUCAAAAAGAUUGUUAGCAGUUACUGUGAUUUCCAGGGAUGUAGCUUUAAUGCUCAACACAUCUUAAUCUUGCCGACUAUAAAACAUUCCUCUGAUGGUAAGCUGAUGAUCUAUGGGUUUGAGUCAGAAUUCAUGUGUGGAAUGAAUGUCUUGGUGAAAUGGAUGCACAGAGAAACCUCGUGUAACCAGGUGGUUGCCUCUGGCCAUGGAGCCAUGCACACACAUACAGCCGUGAGCCUUCUGCCAGCAUCAGCCCAGCCACACUUAACGCCUCGCCCCCACAACCAGCAGCACUUGCCGGAUGCCUGUGUUGAUGUGGGAUUUCCUUAUGUAACGUACUUACUGCUGAAAUACCUGAGUGUGAAUGGAAAAGUUAAGAAGAAAAUGCACUGAAAAAAAAAAACCUAAGAGGUUUUGUUGUGCUGUGCCUCAGUGAUGCAAAGAGGAAUGCUGGGCGCUGGCUUUGGGGAGCUUGAGGUCACUGUUCAUGGGGAGACCGAGCGAGGGACCCCCAUCAGCCUCACUGGGAGGGGAAUCUUUGGUUCUUCACCUGUGGCCCUGAAAAAAUAACAUUUCAAAUUAAGCUUAGGCCCAGUCAUUUGUAAAGAAACCAGUUCGCAUCAACAGGGAGCAAACUCAGUUUAUGGGUAAAAUAGUUUAAUUCCAACUUGAGGGAAUUACAUUAAAUAUC